CCUACGGGAGGCUGCAGUAGGGAAUAUUGCUCAAUGGGGGAAACCCUGAUGCAGCAACGCCGCGUGGAUGAUGAAGGUUUUCGGAUUGUAAACUCCUUUUGUUAGAGAAGAUAAUGACGGUAUCUAACGAAUAAGCCCCGGCUAACUCCGUGCCAGCAGCCGCGGUAAUACGGAGGGUGCAAGCGUUACCCGGAAUCACUGGGCGUAAAGGGCGCGUAGGCGGGAUAGCAAGUCAGAUGUGAAAUCCUAUGGCUUAACCAUAGAACUGCCUUUGAAACUGUUAGUCUAGAGUGUGGGAGAGGUAGGCGGAAUUCUUGGUGUAGGGGUAAAAUGCGUAGAGAUCAAGAGGAAUACUCAUUGCGAAGGCGACCUGCUAGAACAUAACUGACGCUGAUGCGCGAAAGCGUGGGGAGCAAACAGGAUUAGAUACCCGAGUAGUC
rnacentral:rRNA from 1 species